UAUGCCGUAUCACUUUGUAAGAGAAUGGAGAUCUGUCUUAAAUAUUCAGUGUUUAUUUCAUAUUGGCUAGACAUUGAGACUGAGUGUGAUGUCUAAAGAGAUUUUUAAAGAAAACUGGCUAUGUCUGAAGUAUUUGUUCUCUAUUUUGACAUUUUCCCUGGAGGCUGAGUAAAAUUUCUAAUUGCUUAAUGACUACUAGGAUAAUUAACUGUCGUUUAUUGAAUUGACAUCCUUCAGAGUUAGUAUGGAACCUAGGUUCUAUUUCAGUUAUGUGUUAGGGACUAGUUUUUGGAAUUUUGAGCCUAGUGUAUAACAAUCACUAGAACUAAACAUUUACCCCAUGCCUGUCAGACUAUUAAGAGAAUAGUUAUAAGGAGGAAAUGGCCCCAGAACAAGUUCCAAUGGUUUUUAGAAUAAUACUAAAAGCCAAUGAAAUGUUGUAGAGAUGUCAAUUUGGGGGACAGGAUACUCUAAAUGUAGAACUAGAUUUGUGCAAUAUUGUAGUGAGGGUAUCCAGGAGCUUGGUUUUUAAUCUGUUCUCAACAGACUCUCAAUUUCUUGAAAUAAUUCCUGAAAGAAAAGAAAAUGAUAAUAGACAUGUUCUUAUUAGUUUAAUGUCUCUACGCCCCUUCCAAAAACCUCAUGUCCUCAGAACAUGGCUUCUACUAGGAGACUUGAAGUCAGUUUCUGGAUUUACUGGUACAGGCUACUUGCCACUAGGAAUUUGAGAAAUUCAAAGGAGAUGUCUCACCAGGAACUCAAGAAAUGGAAUUUUAGGUGUGGUUAGUGAAUGACUUAAAUCUGCUUUAGUAGACCUCCUUGGAGACAGAAAAAUGUUCUUUAUGGUUCCAAUGGGCUCAAAGCCACACAGUACUUUCCCUUCCAUAGUAUACUUCCUCACGGCUCUAGAAUGAGUAUGCGGCAGGAUGGAGAGUUGCUGGAAUUCGUAUGUCAAGUUCAUAACCGUGAGGUGGUAAAAACUCUGCUUUUGCAUUCCUAUAGAAAACCACUGAAAUCAAUCACCUUCAGGGAGGCAAUUGAGAAUGAUACAGGCUCAGAAUUGACUGGGUCAAAUUCCUGAGGGAAUUAUUGAUCACAAAGAAUUACUAAAAAUCUUAGACUUGAGGGAACAUUAAACAGGUCCCAAAUUUAUUAUAGUAUACAAGAAUCCCCCUGUAUUUUUGUGAUUAGUGAAGCUAAACAGGCUGAAGUGGACCAAAAGAUAAAUACAGCCGCCCUGCAGGAACACUGCAGAUGAAUGAGCCCAAACCCCAGAUCUGGAGAAGAUUCGAGGAGAAGGGAAUGAGGCAAGGCUGACUCAGCUUCUUAAAGGAGGAUGCUUUAAAGUGAGGCUUCUGACCCUAAGAAGCCCCUGUCUUGCCAGAGGAGUGCCAACCAAAGAGAAACUUAAGUGGACAUAUGCAUGGUACAUUUUGCCGAGUGCCUGGUGGGAAGCCUGUCUGGCCCAAAUGAAGAACAAGAAAAGCAAUUUGGAAUGGGAUGAGUGAUAGUGAUCCUGCAUAUGACUCUAUUUGUACAAGACAGGGGUGAUGUGUGGAACAGGAAGCCAGCCAAGACCUCAGCAGAUCAGUGAGUGAACAUCUUCCUCUCCUCGUGCUCAUUCACACCACCGCAGCAUUUGUGUUUCCAUCAGAAAUAAGACUAUUUUCCAGUUACAACCACUUUCGGGAUAAAAUUGCUAAUACUUGACUUAUAUGAUGGAAAGUCUAUGUAAAGCACACUGAUUGGUUCCCCCAGCUUGCUGGAUGUUUGUGGCCAUCAGGCUGUUCUCCAGUCUGCCAAGCUCCUACCAGGUGAAAUAGCCCCUGCCUUCUUGAAGCCCUGUUGUCUCCAUCUGGAUACACACCUGCCCAAAGUCAUUCCUUGUUCUGAUCCAAGAAAUAGCAAUAAAAGCUCCCUGAGAAACUGAUUGAACUAAAGGGGAACUGAAAAAAUAGACCGUGUUCAUUGAACUGCAAGGAAAAUAUUUUCAACAAAGCAAAAAAGCAAGUUCAAUUACGAAACCGGAGGCCUUAAGAAAAUAUUUUUUUUCUUUUUUGGUAUUUGAAUUUCUGAUUCUCGUCAAAUAUGAGUUGUAUGCAGUCUGCUAAAUGGUAAAUCAAAAUGUCACCACUUGACCUUGGCAAAGUUACCAGAUAAUUCUUCGCUGCGGAGGACUGUGCUGUGCAUUGGAGGAAGUUUAGCAGCAUCCCAGGCCUCUGCCCACUAGAUGCCAGUAGCACUCCCUCGACCUCAUAUGUGACAACAAAAAAUAACUCUGGACAGGAGCAAUCAUCACCCGUUGAGAACUACUGAUUCAGAGGAUGAUUUUCCUAUCAAGUUUCAUUUUGGUUCAUACAGAGUCAGACUGAGGUUGCCAGGAUACAUCCAGGCGACAAAGGCUGGUUCCUGUUCUGACAGCCUCAGAUACUACAGGAACUCCUGCAGGAGGGGAUGUGAGUCUUGGAGCUUCCAGCGAUUUUGCUUCUGUUCCCACUAGCCCCUCCCUGAGGGGCUCAACGGGCCAUGAUAAAGGCUAAAAUAGAAAAGGUAAAAGAACAACGUUACAAGAUCUCAGAGGCAUCUGGGGUUUAAUGGGGACUUUCCGGCAUUCCAGACUGCUGCUCUGCAGUGAAGCUCUGAGUCACAGUCACUGGGUCUAAGGUGCUGGCCACAAUGUGGAAUCCCAGGACAGUCACUCUUACUGACCUUCACUCUAAAAAGAAGCCCAGAUGAGUCUGGCCUGGAAUCAGUGCAA